GCACGCGCUUCGUGCUCAGGUGUUCUUUUAGUCUGUGGCGUUGACACCUCUCCUCCCCAAUCACAACUCCGUGUCAUCUCUCGGAGGAAGGAUGCGGCGCAUCCAACCUCUCCGGGCUGUUUUCUCACCCCGCACCGAGCAGGUUCCCGAAGCUCCAUCCUGGCUGCCUUGAUCAGCGCUGCCUCGCGCACAAAAACGCGGUCCUUCUACGUAUUCUUCGUGGAGUAGGCAUAGCCGCCGCCCUUCAUGCCACCACCACAUUACGACCCUCACGGAAGCGCACGCGUCCACGCAAUAUCACCUGUAUGCGAUGUGGCUGUCAUCAGACCCUUACUCAUUGCUCUCUCCGACUUUUUUCGUGUGUAUCAACGCAACGCUCCUCAUACCGCCGCUCUUGUUCCUGUUUCUAGCCCUGCUGUCCUUUUCUUUAUUUUCUCCGACGCCCUGAUGAAGGCGGGGAGGCGGGGGUGGGGGAAGGGCGCACACCUCCGUGCGUGGCAUCUCAGGGUCCAGUAAAGCCACUCUGUAUGGGAAGAAGCCAAGCAGCUCCUCCCUCAGUCCUGCCAAAUGCCAGAGCCACUUGUGGUGGUAACUAGCUCAGGUGCCUACUACGGAGCGUAGUCAGAGCGACGUAUUGCUACUCGUGUCGGCGGUCGGGUCCUGGAUGGCGUUGCGUCGGGGCGACCGGCAUAAUGGGCACGGCCGUGAGGCAGGGGUGGGUGGGUAGAGCUUGAGACAGGAGCCCUGCUCGCAUAACUGAGCCUGCAUUGCUGUGGCGCCUGUCUCUACGGCUGCUUCGCGCCAGGCGAUGGGGCCUCGUGGCGGGCCAGGGACUACAGUGGCGCUCGAAUCCUGUUGUACGGCCGAGAAACGGACACGUUGAAGGCAAGACAGCGAGUUAUUCCUACAUGUGCCCUCCUCCACCGUUCGGAUAUACAUGCACCUAAACGCACGCGGGCAGUUCUCUCCUUUUCCGCUCUGCCUCCUACUUGGGUGCCCCACCUCCACCUCCACCAUUCUCAUCAUCUCUCUCACUCUUGAUCCAUCCGGGGCGAUCUCUCCCCCACCCCUCCCUCUCCUUUCCUCCGCUUGCCUCUCCGCUGGAUUGCAUCACAAG
rnacentral:misc_RNA from 1 species